rnacentral:rRNA from 1 species
GUACACUCCUGCGGGAGGCAGCAGUGGGGAAUAUUGCACAAUGGGCGCAAGCCUGAUGCAGCCAUGCCGCGUGUAUGAAGAAGGCCUUCGGGUUGUAAAGUACUUUCAGCGGGGAGGAAGGUGUUGAGGUUAAUAACCUCAGCAAUUGACGUUACCCGCAGAAGAAGCACCGGCUAACUCCGUGCCAGCAGCCGCGGUAAUACGGAGGGUGCAAGCGUUAAUCGGAAUUACUGGGCGUAAAGCGCACGCAGGCGGUCUGUCAAGUCGGAUGUGAAAUCCCCGGGCUCAACCUGGGAACUGCAUUCGAAACUGGCAGGCUAGAGUCUUGUAGAGGGGGGUAGAAUUCCAGGUGUAGCGGUGAAAUGCGUAGAGAUCUGGAGGAAUACCGGUGGCGAAGGCGGCCCCCUGGACAAAGACUGACGCUCAGGUGCGAAAGCGUGGGGAGCAAACAGGAUUAGAAACCCUUGUAGUCCCAUGA